rnacentral:pre_miRNA from 1 species
AGAAAGUUUCCUCGCAAAGACACGGAAGAAUGCACAAGUGCACUCUUCCGUGUCUUUGCGAGGAACCUUUCU